CAGUGGACUAGUUGGAGGUCUCUGGCUUCUUUAACGCCAGAUGCUUUUCUCCCAGUUCUCCUGUCAUCACCCUGUGUCAUGGGGAAGCUGCAGCUUUGGAUCAGCAGGACGGCCCUUUCACCCGCUCCAACAGUUCACGGAUUAUGAACAACAACUCAGAGCCCUGGGUCUGGGCUGAGUGGUAGCUGAGCCCACCGGCUCUCCCUUACCGACACCACCAAAGCGAGCGCUCCAGCACUGCUCUGACUACGUCACCGUCACCGGAAGCUGCCAUAGGCAGGAAGCAGGGUCAGCUCUCCUGCUCUCCUGCCCUCAGGGCUGGCUGGCUCACCCACUCCCACGCCUCCAGAGCCGGCCCCACUGUGCUACCCAGACCCAGAGAACAGCCUCCCACCUGCUGCUGUGCAUGGCCCUGUGGACGUCUGUGAACUCGAUGAGUUGAACACAGUUUGCACCAGGCAGGCAGAGUUGAUCCAGGACACUCAUCUCUCUGGGGUGAAGAAAUGGGAAAUCCUCGGGAACCCGUAGGCCGCUCCCUGUCUUCCAGGUCUUGAACUUUCAUCAGUCAUCACGUGUCACCAAGCUAAGCAGAGAU
rnacentral:sRNA from 1 species